UGAUAAGAUGAUGUUAAUAUUAUGUUUGCUCCUGAGUCAAGGUAAUCAAGCGGUACCCUUCGGACAAGAUGUGGGGAAGUAAAGAGGCAUUUGGCACUCCAAAGUGGGUCAUUGAGGUCAAUUCCAUGGCGUUCAAGCUCUGUGGCAAACCCACCAUCUAUGAUUCCAUACCCACCACACUUGUUCAGAAAAUCUUUCAUCAUGUUUGAGCUAUG
rnacentral:lncRNA from 1 species